rnacentral:tRNA from 1 species
GGCCCCAUCAUCUAAUGGUUUAGGAUACUUGGUUCUCAUCCAAGACAUCCCGGUUCGAAUCCGGGUGGGGUCA